CCUGCGGNNGGAUCAUUAUCGUACAACUGAGGCGCAAAGGCUGUCGNNUNNNNNCNAGGGUUGUGCACGCCCGAGNUGCUCUCACACAAUCCAUCUCACCUUUGUGCAUNCACNCGCGUGGGUCCCCUUUGCAGGAGUGGCUNCACGUUUUCACAUAAAACUCGAUACAGUNAGUAGAANNNNNNUGUUUCUUUUGCGGUCACACGCAAUCAAUACAACUUUCAACAACGGAUCUCUUGGCUCUYGCAUCGAUGAAGAACGCAGCGAAAUGCGAUACGUAAUGUGAAUUGCAGAAUUCAGUGAAUCAUCGAAUCUUUGAACGCACCUUGCGCCCCUUGGCAUUCCGAGGGGCACACCCGUUUGAGUGUCGUGAAAUCUUCAAAACCCUUUUUUCUUUGAACCAUUGCGGUCGGGAAAAGGAUUUUUGGACUUGGAGGCUUAAUGCUUGCCCUUUCUUUUUGAAAGCGAGCUCCUCUCAAAUGAAUUAGUGGGGUCCGCUUUGCUGAUCCUUGACGUGAUAAAAUGUUUCUACGUUUUGGGUUUAGCACUGUCCCUUGGAUGCCUGCUGCUAACCGUCUCAUCGACAACGAUGGUGCUCCGGUCACUGCCGUCUACGUCGGCGGGAGGCUGGACCCACAAAAAGGAAACCUUGACCUCAAAUCGGGUGAGACUACCCGCUGAACUUAAGCAUAUCAAUAAGCGGAGGAAAAGAAACUAACAAGGAUUCCCCUAGUAACUGCGAGUGAAGCGGGAAAAGCUCAAAUUUAAAAUCUGGUGGUCUUUGGCCAUUCGAGUUGUAAUUUANAGAA
rnacentral:rRNA from 1 species